rnacentral:rRNA from 1 species
CCCUCGGGAAUCAGUCGAACGACGCGCGAACGCGUCUCGAUCGUCGGAGCGUAAAAGUCCGGCUCGAGGCGUCUAGUAGUCGCGUUCGUAAGGCGCAUUUCUCGAGGGUUAGCGCCGCGACCGAUGCGAACGGCCGACGACGCCGUCGAGUUGAGGUCGAACGCCCUUCGCGGGUAUUCGUAACCAGCUCGUUCGGUUCGAUCGUUGGAUCUAUAAAUAUAUAGCAUCGAGCGAAUACUUAAUAAAUACGUCGGCGUAAAACGCUCGACGAGCGGCGGAGACUCGGCCAGUCGUUCGAUACCUGCUCGCAGGUGCUCGUUCGGCGCGAGGUCGUUUCCCGAUGUCGCCGUCGACGCUACCGACGUUUAGGCGUCCGCGGCGUCCGAGUCGGCCACCCGUCCGACCCGUCUUGAAACACGGACCAAGGAGUCUAACGUACGCGCGAGUUAAUGGGCGGAAAACCCAUAAGCGCAAUAAAAGUAAAAGUCGUCCUAAGACGGCCGAGGUACGAUCCUAGACUACGCGUCUAGGCGCAGUACCGUCCCGUCCCGACCGCACGUCGGUAGGGCGGAGAUUGAGCGCGUGCGUUGGGACCCGAAAGAUGGUGAACUAUGCCUGAGCAGAGCGAAGCCAGAGGAAACUCUGGUGGAGG